CUUCAGGGAGCCCAGCCACAGCGGGCGGUCCGCCGGGCGUUCCUGCCCGUACGUGGCCAGCAGUGCCUGCGCCUC
rfam:Streptomyces sp. C cont1.646, whole genome shotgun sequence.